GGAGAGGUGUCAGAGUGAUCGAAUGUGCCUGAUUCGAAAUCAGGUGUACUGCAAGGUACCGGGGGUUUGAAUCCCUCCCUCUCCGCCA
rnacentral:tRNA from 1 species